rnacentral:rRNA from 1 species
GACGAACGCUGGCGGCGUGCUUAACACAUGCCAGUCGAACGGAAAGGCCCUGCUUUUGUGGGGUGCUCGAGUGGCGAACGGGUGAGUAACACGUGAGUAACCUGCCCUUGACUUUGGGAUAACUUCAGGAAACUGGGGCUAAUACCGGAUAGGAGCUCCUGCUGCAUGGUGGGGGUUGGAAAGUUUCGGCGGUUGGGGAUGGACUCGCGGCUUAUCAGCUUGUUGGUGGGGUAGUGGCUUACCAAGGCUUUGACGGGUAGCCGGCCUGAGAGGGUGACCGGCAACAUGGGGAGUGAGAUAGGGCCCGGACUCCUACGGGAGGCAGAAGGGGGGAAUAUUGAACAGGGGGCGGAGGCCGGAUGCAGCAACGCCGGGUGGGGGAGGACGGCCUUCGGGUUGAAAACCGCUUUCGCCUGGGACGAAGCGGGAGUGACGGUAAUGGGUAAAGAAGCACCGGCUAACUACGUG